rnacentral:rRNA from 1 species
AUCCCGGCUUACCAACCCGAUGCAAACUGCGAAUACCGGAGAAUGUUAUCACGGGAGACACACGGCGGGUGCUAACGUCCGUCGUGAAGAGGGAAACAACCCAGACCGCCAGCUAAGGUCCCAAAGUCAUGGUUAAGUGGGAAACGAUGUGGGAAGGCCCAGACAGCCAGGAUGUUGGCUUAGAAGCAGCCAUCAUUUAAAGAAAGCGUAAUAGCUCACUGGUCGAGUCGGCCUGCGCG